rnacentral:rRNA from 1 species
AUUGAACGCUGGCGGCAGGCCUAACACAUGCGAGUCGAGCGGAUGACGGGAGCUUGCUCCUUGAUUCAGCGGCGGACGGGUGAGUAAUGCCUAGGAAUCUGCCUGGUAGUGGGGGACAACGUUUCGAAAGGAACGCUAAUACCGCAUACGUCCUACGGGAGAAAGCAGGGGACCUUCGGGCCUUGCGCUAUCAGAUGAGCCUAGGUCGGAUUAGCUAGUUGGUGGGGUAAUGGCUCACCAAGGCGACGAUCCGUAACUGGUCUGAGAGGAUGAUCAGUCACACUGGAACUGAGACACGGUCCAGACUCCUACGGGAGGCAGCAGUGGGGAAUAUUGGACAAUGGGCGAAAGCCUGAUCCAGCCAUGCCGCGUGUGUGAAGAAGGUCUUCGGAUUGUAAAGCACUUUAAGUUGGGAGGAAGGGCAGUAAGCGAAUACCUUGCUGUUUUGACGUUACCGACAGAAUAAGCACCGGCUAACUCUGCGCCAGCAGCCGCAGUAA